rnacentral:lncRNA from 1 species
UAGGUCUUUUCCUUUUUUUAACGACGUUAUGGUAAUUUGCUUAAAUAUCGCGUACUUUUGAAAAAAAACUGUUUGUUAUGAAAGUUAGUGAUAAAAGUAUUAAUAUAUUGAAACAGUUUGCAUCACGAGAAAAAGUGGUUUAAUAUCAUUAAAACAGGUUGUAUCACGCGAAGAAGUGGUUUUACGAGAAGCGAAACAGUUUGUAUCAUGCGAAGAAGUGGACGAAAGAUUUAUUUUAGUUACAAUAGUCAACACAAACAAAUCGUUAGUUAUCGGGGUGUCAUUGGUGGUGCCAACAUUAAAGAUAUGACAAGGAGAAUAUUAACAGCUUUGAUGUUUUAGCUGGUGAAUUAAAUUUCAUGGAACAUAGGGAAAAACAUGCCUUUUCAGACCUUAUGGUGCCCCAAGAAAUCCUUACGGUCUUAUCACAGAGCACCGCAGAUGAGCAUUUAAUUGGAAGUUCACGCCUCCUUCCUAACCGAUGUCGCAGAACUUGCCCAGAGGUAGGGUUUGAACCAAAGAUCCUUGGUUCCUGAGUAACGUUACGAAACAAUUUUUUGAUGGUUUACUUCAGUGGCCCAUAAUAUGGAAAUUGUCUGGUGCAAAAGGAAAGCUUCUUUAACGACUAAAGAAAGAUUAGAAGAGCCCUGCAACUAUUGCUACUACAGCAUCUUUACUAGAUACUACUUUAACAUUUAGUGGUUUUCGACAACACUUUUAUCUCUUGCUGAUCCUGUUAAUACAGCUACUAAUUAUUCAUCUGUUGGCUCUACAUUUACUGCUACUUUGGCAAUCUUGAGUUUACUUCAUGCAUAAAAAAUAUUUUUGAAUAACAAAUUACUAUUUAAACUUUAUAUGAAAUUACGUUGAAAAAAAUUGAAAUUGGUACUACCAAUUCAUUGAGUAACUUAAUUUGUAUAAAACUAUUCUAAAUAUUAUUUGAUUUAUGUUAUUGUAUUUAUAAUAUUUAAGCGAUUUGCAUCCCAUGAACAACGGACCCAUGCAUAGGGCCGUAAAUACGUAGAUCUCCCAUAUAAAGGUUUGAAUCUCCGUUUGUUACCGUUUUUACAAUUAGUUAUAGUGUGAGAAUUUAAAGUUUAAUAAAUGUUUUAUUAUAAAUGUUUUAAUAAUAAGUUUAAUAAAUAAAGUUUAAUAAAUAAAAAAUUGGAGAAAGAUAAUGGAACCCUUAAAACAAUACCUCUCAAUACAUAAGAGAUAGGUAUUACAA